rnacentral:tRNA from 1 species
GGGUGGAUAGCUCAGUGGUAGAGCAUGUGCUUAGCAUGCAUGAGGUCCUGGGUUCAAUUCCCCGGACCUCCA